UACGUAGGGGGCAAGCGUUGUCCGGAAUCAUUGGGCGUAAAGCGCGCGUAGGCGGCCCGGUAAGUCCGCUGUGAAAGUCCAGGGCUCAACCCUGGAAAGCCGAUGGAUACUGCGGAGCUAGAGUACGGAAGAGGCGAGUGGAAUCCUGGUGUAGCGGUGAAAUGCGUAGAUAUCAGGAGGAACACCGGUGGUGUAGACGGCUU
rnacentral:rRNA from 1 species